AAACUUUCAACAACGGAUCUCUUGGUUCCGGCAUCGAUGAAGAACGCAACGGAAAUGCGAUAACUAAUGUGAAUUGCAGAAUUCAGUGAAUCAUCGAGUCUUUGAACGCACAUUGCGCCCCCUGGUAUUCCGGGGGGCAUGCCUGUCCGAGCGUCAUU
rnacentral:rRNA from 1 species